GAGUGCUUAAAAGCGGAGAACCUUUGCCAGCUGUGGUCAGAGGGAGUCGUGACUGUGGAAGAAAGGCACAGAGAGACUCAACGCUGCUGGCUUUGAAGAUGGAGGAAGAGGGCCCUGAGCCAAGGAAUGCAGUGGGCCUGUAGAAGCUGGAAAAGCUCUUCAGAACCUGAAAGGCAGCAUAGCUCCUGGGAUUGUGUGUGUGUUAUACACCGGCUAAGGAGGAAGAUGAUUUGUUUCGGGCUGUGCAGAGUGAGUGAAGAUGGAGCUGCAGUUAGUGUCCAUGGAACAGAUGCAACACUAUCUGCCUCACCCUAACUGUGACUAUCCUCUCACUGGUUGGCAGGGCUUGAAGGAAGAAACGUAAUCCACCCAAGCUCCCAGCAAGCAGCAAGCAGGAGUCCCAAGAGGCAGGACCAGGAUCUCAUAGCAAAGUGGAAUUCAUCUCUAAAAAGAGGUUUAUGGCUGACCAGACUUCAUCAGUUCAGAUAUGUCUGCCCCCAUAGGGAAGUACAUGGUUGUAUAUUUCAGUUGUGGGUCCUUCUAGUUGUGGCAUGGGGGAUGCUGCCUCAGUGUGGCCUGAUGAGCAGUGCCAUGUCCAUGCCCAGGAUCUGAACCAGCAAAAUCCUGUGCCGCGAAGUGGAGCACACGAACUUAACUACUCGGCCAUGGGACCAGCCCCAGAAGUUUAUUUUUGUUUCACAUAGAAGAAGUUCUGAUGUAGACAGUCAAGAGCCUGUGAACUAUCUCCAUGGUUUGUUCAGGGACCCAGUUCUGAUAUGUCUUAUAGUCAAUAUUAGGCUUCCAUCCUCAAAGUUACUUUAUGCUCCAAUAAGGCUGCUGGAGUGCCAGGCAUCACUUCACAUUCCAAGUGUGCAGCAGGUAGAGGAAAAGGACAAAAUGCCUUCCUCCCAGCUAAGUCAGCUGUCUUUGAGUAGACUAAAGGUAUUGUUAAAUAAAUGUUCAUAUAUCCAUAAAACAGGAAAAGUUCUAUGAAGGCAAGACCCGUGUCUGUUUUGUUUAUCAGUGCAUCCUCAAGAGCUAGUA
rnacentral:lncRNA from 1 species